UUCUGAUGCAGUGAAUAACGU
rnacentral:piRNA from 1 species